rfam:Myotis lucifugus cont2.13932, whole genome shotgun sequence.
CUGUCUCUUGCUUCAACAGUGUUUGGACGGAACGG